rnacentral:rRNA from 1 species
AUACGGAGGAUGCGAGCGUUAUCCGGAUUUAUUGGGUUUAAAGGGUGCGUAGGCUGUGCGUUAAGUCGGGGGUGAAAUGCCGUCGCUCAACGACGGAGCUGCCCUUGAUACUGGCGUGCUGGAGUACGGAUGCCGUUGGAGGAAUGAGUGGUGUAGCGGUGAAAUGCUUAGAUAUCACUCAGAACACCGAUUGCGAAGGCAUCUGACGAAUCCGUCACUGACGCUGAGGCACGAAAGCGUGGGGAUAGAACAGGAUUAGAUACCCUGGUAUUCCACGCCGUAAACGAUGAUGACUAACCGUCGGCGAUAGACAGCCGGUGGCCAAGCGAAAGCGAUAAGUCAUCCACCUGGGGAGUACGUCGGCAACGAUGAAACUCAAAGGAAUUGACGGGG